rnacentral:rRNA from 1 species
UGCCAGCCCGCUCAGAACUUAAAGGAAUUGACGGGGCCGCACAAGCGGAGGAGCAUGUGGUUUAAUUCGAUGAUACGCGAGGAACUUACCUGGGCUCGAACGUAAGAUGACUGUAGGUGAAAGCUUACAUCUCUUCGGAGCAUUUUACGAGGUGCUGCAUGGUUGUCGUCAGCUCGUGCCGUGAGGUGUCGGGUUAAGUCCCAUAACGAGCGCAACCCCUACCUUUAGUUGCCAUCAGGUAAUGCUGGGGACUCUAAAGGAACUGCCUACGCAAGUAGUGAGGAAGGCGGGGAUGACGUCAAAUCAGCACGGCCCUUACGUCCAGGGCUACACACGUGCUACAAUGGCCGAUACAGAGGGCAGCUACCUGGUGACAGGAUGCAAAUCUCCAAAGUCGGUCUCAGUUCGGAUCGGAGUCUGCAACCCGACUCCGUGAAGUUGGAUUCGCUAGUAAUCGCGCAUCAGCCAUGGCGCGGUGAAUACGUUCCCGGGCCUU